UAGCUCAGUUGGUUAGAGCGCUACACUGAUAAUGUAGAGGUCACUGGUUCAACUCCAGUAG
rnacentral:tRNA from 1 species